rnacentral:misc_RNA from 1 species
GAAAUGCGAUAAGUAAUGUGAAUUGCAGAAUUCAGUGAAUCAUCGAAUCUUUGAACGCACAUUGCGCCCGCCAGUAUUCUGGCGGGCAUGCCUGUUCGAGCGUCAUUUCAACCAUCAAGCCCCCGGCUUGUGUUGGGGACCUGCGGCUGCCCGCAGGCCCUGAAAAACAGUGGCGGGCUCGCUGUCACACCGAGCGUAGUAGCAUACAUUCUCGCUCAGGGCGUGCUGCGGGUUCCGGCCGUUAAACGACCUUCAUAACCCAAGGUUGACCUCGGAUCAGGUAGGAAGACCCGAUGAACUUAAGC